GAAGGAGGAAAGGAGUGAGCAUGUCCUGCUCCUGCACGUCCCUGCUUAAGCUCAGGACUGGCCCUUCCAGGCCAAGGACCCCAGCACAGAUCCCAGGACAGGGCCCCAAGGAUCCCUGGCUCAUGAGAGCGGCUUGCUGGGCUGCCCCAAGAGAGCCUGAAAGAAACACAUUGUCGAGCUGAGCUGACGUCGCUGUUUCUUCCAGACUGCUCUCUAAAGUGGGCAGGGUAGCGAUCGGCUGGCUCCGACGGUGACGUCCCACUGCCAAGGGCGGGGAGUGGGGAGAGUCUCCACAGAGCUUCGGAGAAGCUGCUAAGAUGGAAAAGUGGAAACUUGGCAGACAGAUCCAGCCUCCCUGGCCACUGGCCCAUGCUCAUGGCUCCUGGAUGGCGCUCCCACGUUCUGAGCAGCUUGGGACAGGUGGAGAUCAGGACUGGCAGCUGCAAGGACACACCAGAACCACAGAAACUAAAGAGAAUUUCCAAAAGGAGUCUAUGGUGAAGUCUCUGAUGAUGCAAAGAAGAAAGGAGAAUGAAAAUCCAAUGAAAGCCUGAUUGUAUUCGUUGACCUUAAGGAAAGUGAUUUUAUGGCACAGCCUCUCUGGAAGGGAGGGUGUGUUCGCUCACAGAAUGCAAAUACCCUUUGACCCAGCAAUCUUUCUGCUAGGAGUUUCUCCUACAGAUAAACUUAGAAUGGUGCUCAAAUAAGUAAGUUCAAGGAUAUCCUCUGAAGCAUUGCUGUGGUAUAAAAAGAGCAUAGAUAUCCUCAAAGGACAUCAUUGGGGCCUGGUAAAAUAAAUUCCACACAGUGGAACACCGUGUAGCUCUUUAGAGAAUAAACAGCUCUCUAUAUGUGAUAUGGAA
rnacentral:antisense_RNA from 1 species